GCAGCAGAAGACAGUCCUGUUGAAGAAUAACUCAGCCUUGCAAAAUGUUACUCUGCGUGCAAGAACUCCAGGAAUGCGUGAACGCCCAAGUUCAGCCAUCUACCCUUCUGAUAGCUUCCGACAGUCCCUGCUGGGAUCCCGCCGAGGUCGCUCCAAUCUGUCGCUGUCUAAGAGUGUCUCCACCAACAACAUUUCAGGGACCCUUAUCGAUGGCUCUCCACUGGGGCUGCGCAGGAUCCUGUCCCAGUCCACAGAUUCCCUCAGUUUCAG